rnacentral:rRNA from 1 species
AGGACGAACGCUGGCGGCGUGCUUAACACAUGCAAGUCGAGCGGAAAGGCCCUUCGGGGUACUCGAGCGGCGAACGGGUGAGUAACACGUGAGUAAUCUGCCCUUAGCUCUGGGAUAGCUCCGGGAAACCGGGAUUAAUACCAGAUACGACCACUUUAGACAUCUGCCGUGGUGGAAAGAAUUUCGGCUAAGGAUGAGCUCGCGGCCUAUCAGCUUGUGGUGGGGUAACGGCCUACCAAGGCGACGACGGGUA